UUGAGGGGAAAAUAAAGCAAAUUUAGCAAUGUCAGGAUUUAAACAUAAAGUGGUAUUUUCUUUUUAAAAAAAUACUUUUAUCACUUGAUUGGAUACUUAUUGCAAAGAAGUAAAUCAACUCUUUAAAACAUACAACCACUUUUGUUCAUGCCCUUGCCAAUCGAAUGGGCUAUCAUGCAUUUUUAGGGGCAGAGAUGCCAGAUAGAUGUGUGAAUACAUAAAUUCGGUAUUCCGUCGGAAUGUCCGGUGACAAGUUCGGAACGCCGCCUUUAAUGGUUCCAUCAUCUUCAGAACACGGAACCCUCGCUGUUAAUUUGACAAGUGUUAAUUAUAUCAAACGCAGGCGUCGUAUCGGGAGUAAAAUUCAGCUUCCAAUCAAUUUUUCGGUCCCAGUGCAUCCGGACAAAUUGCAACUUAUUCCAACGAAGAGACAUCGGAAAUUGAAUGUUUGUAUCAGGUUGUGCUGCCGAAACGCACCAAGUUUGGCUUCCGAUGGGUUGGAUCUCUGAUCGCUCUGUUCAAACACGGCCAGGAAUGAUUCUGCAAUCGAAAAUUUAUAUUCGAAUAGUCCUUCAAAUACCAAAAUCACUUUCAUGUGUGCUACAUUGGUAGAACGUUACAAUACCAGUACUAUAGAAUAACUAUAAUAACAACUGACUGAUGAUUUGAAUACA